UACGGAGGAUCCAAGCGUUAUCCGGAAUCAUUGGGCUUAAAGGGUCCGCAGGCGGGUUAAUAAGACCGUGGUGAAAGUCUGCAGCUCAACUGUAGAACUGCCAUUGAUACUGUUAACCUUGAGUGAUUAUGAAGUGGUUAGAAUAUGUAGUGUAGCAGUGAAAUGCAUAGAGAUUACAUAGAAUACCGAUUGCGAAGGCAGAUCCCUAAUAAUUCACUGACGCUGAGGGACGAAAGCGUAGGUAGCGAACAGG
rnacentral:misc_RNA from 1 species